CCUACGGGAGGCAGCAGUGGGGAAUAUUGCACAAUGGGGGAAACCCUGAUGCAGCGACGCCGCGUGAGUGAAGAAGUAAUUCGUUAUGUAAAGCUCUAUCAGCAGGGAAGAAAAUGACGGUACCUGAGUAAGAAGCCCCGGCUAACUACGUGCCAGCAGCCGCGGUAAUACGUAGGGGGCAAGCGUUAUCCGGAUUGACUGGGUGGAAAGGGAGCGUAGACGGCAGUGCAAGUCUGGAGUGAAAGGCGGGGGCUCAACCCCCGGACUGCUCUGGAAACUGUACGGCUGGAGUGCAGGAGAGGUAAGUGGAAUUCCUAGUGUAGCGGUGAAAUGCGUAGAUAUUAGGAGGAACACCAGUGGCGAAGGCGGCUUACUGGACUGUAACUGACGUUGAGGCUCGAAAGCGUGGGGAGCAAACAGGAUUAGAUACCCCUGUAGUC
rnacentral:rRNA from 1 species